AUUGAACGCUGGCGGCAGGCCUAACACAUGCAAGUCGAACGGUAACAGGAAGAAGCUUGCUUCUUUGCUGACGAGUGGCGGACGGGUGAGUAAUGUCUGGGAAACUGCCUGAUGGAGGGGGAUAACUACUGGAAACGGUGGCUAAUACGCCAAAACUUCCCAAGACCAAAAAGGGGGACCUUCGGGCCCCUUGCCUUCGGUUUUGCCCAGAUGGGAUUAGCUAGUAGGUGGGGUAACGGCCCACCUAGGCGACGAUCCCUAGCUGGUCUGAGAGGAUGACCAGCCACACUGGAACUGAGACACGGUCCAGACUCCUACGGGAGGCAGCAGUGGGGAAUAUUGCACAAUGGGCGCAAGCCUGAUGCAGCCAUGCCGCGUGUAUGAAGAAGGCCUUCGGGUUGUAAAGUACUUUCAGCGGGGAGGAAGGGAGUAAAGUUAAUACCUUUGCUCAUUGACGUUACCCGCAGAAGAAGCACCGGCUAACUCCGUG
rnacentral:rRNA from 1 species